rnacentral:sRNA from 1 species
CUGCAUGGCCUGAGGAACCCGUACCCAAUUCUCUUUUUGGUGCGAGUUGGAGAAAUGUCUCCUCAGAGUCACCUGAGCAUUUGUUAGUGUCCAAAAUCAAAUAAAGGCAACUAUAGGACAGUCACCCAGAGAUCCGGGCCCCCUGCAGGAGGUAGGACAGUCUGUCUCCUAGGUUACCAUCUGCUCAUGCUUGUACUUGUGGGGCUGCCUCUGCCAUGGCAACAGAGGAAGAAGGGGCCUGAAAAGAAUGAGGGGAGAGAAAGAGGCAGUACCCCACCUUUCACCUUGGUAUGGCAAGGAUGCGAGUGUUCCCCAACGCUAACAGACACUUUAGGCUACAGGGAGACGAGCUCACUUCCGGUGUGCCCCACUUAAUGAGUAAGGUACACUGGGCAUACUAUUGGAGAUGGGAAAUAAGCCAGAAGGAGAUCUUCAUCUGGAGAUUCGUGAAGUCCUCUGAAGAACUAGCAGUGGAGAACAUGGCUGCUUCAAGGGAAUGUCAAAGAUCAGGGCUCCAUACCCAAGGAUUAAACCCUUGCCAUCAUGAGCGUGUACAUACUCAGGGAGAUGUGGUAGAGACCUAGAGCUGGAAUGAGAAGAGUUCUUCCAUGAAAAUAAAGCAGAAAGCCUGUG